UUUCCAGUGAUGGGGUCAGUGACCUCACCCUGCCAUUAUAUCAUCUAAUUGACCAUCUUAAUAGGAACGUUUCUCUUCCACCUAGUUCAAAAAGGACCUACUGACAGUUCCCAGGAAACCUUUGUCCCUUCUUUGGCGGCUCUUGCCCUCUGAGCUUCUCAGCUGUCCGCCUCCACGGCCUCCCUGCGUGCUCUUCGGGCUUCCUCCCUCUGCUUUGUGUCACCGACAAUGUGCAUUUUACAGCGCUGUUAACCUCUCCCAGCCUCCUGAACGUGGUGAUAUCUUUGAUCAAGAGACUGAAGAGGUGACUUUUCUGCUCUUUCUCCUGUAAACACUUAAGCAAGGACUCCAGAGUAAAAAGAAGACUCUGAUGGAACACUGCAUUCAUAAAACAAAAAAGAAGAAACAAAUCACAAAAAAGAAACAUUCAAAGACAAGGACAGAAGCUAGAAAUCAGCGUGGGAGGUCGCUCUCUGCAAGUCACAAGUUACUGGGGUACGUGAGUCCAGGGACAGCAAGAGAGGGACCAGAGGCCAGAUAAAGGCUUUUCUGAGCAGGAAAUUGGAAGAAGGUCUGUCAAUAUUCUUCACGAAACCUGCUUUCUGGCAGAGAAUUGCGUUUUCAACCAAACACCUAUUUCCAAGAAAACUGUCUGCUGGAAAAUAUCAGUAUUCCACAAAAAAAUGGACUGCCAAAAAAAAAAAAGUUUUGAUGUGGAUAUACUCCUCUAUUGCCUCGUGGUUGUUGUAGUUAGGUUGCUUCUCAACCGCGCGGACGUCCCUGACUGACA